CGAGCCGGGCGGGCGGCCGCGUGAGGAUCCUUCUGGAUCCUCCCGAGGAACGUCCGGGCUCCACAGGGCAGGGUGGUGGGUAACGCCCACCCGGGGUGACCCGCGGGACAGUGCCACAGAAAACAGACCGCCGGGGACCUCGGUCCUCGGUAAGGGUGAAACGGUGGUGUAAGAGACCACCAGCGCCUGGGGUGACCCAGGCGGCUAGGUAAACCCCACCCGGAGCAAGGUCAAGAGGGGCCGCUGUAACAGGCGGCUCUGCGCGGACGUUCGAGGGCUGCUCGCCCGAGUCCGCGGGUAGACCGCACGAGACCGGUGGCAACACCGGUCCUAGAUGGAUGGCCGUCGCCCCGACGACCGCGAGGUCCCGGGGCACAGAACCCGGCGUAUAGCUCGGCUCGUCUG
rnacentral:RNase_P_RNA from 1 species